UUCCAAAGUGUUCAGUUCAGUUCAGGGCAGCUUCCCUGUUCUGUUAAUUAAACUUUGGGACAUUGAAACACAGGCUAGGGGGAAUGAGUGAAUGGAAAGCAUAACUUUAUCCAUUUACCUCCUAGCCUUACAGAU